UACAGAGGGUGCGAGCGUUAAUCGGAUUUACUGGGCGUAAAGCGUGCGUAGGCGGCUUUUUAAGUCGGAUGUGAAAUCCCUGAGCUUAACUUAGGAAUUGCAUUCGAUACUGGGAAGCUAGAGUAUGGGAGAGGAUGGUAGAAUUCCAGGUGUAGCGGUGAAAUGCGUAGAGAUCUGGAGGAAUACCGAUGGCGAAGGCAGCCAUCUGGCCUAAUACUGACGCUGAGGUACGAAAGCAUGGGGAGCAAAC
rnacentral:rRNA from 2 species